GGGGCGCACGUGUCGCGGGAAAUGGAGUGGACACCGGGGGCUUCAGGGGAAGACAUCCAAACGACCGGGAGUCACGCGUGGAUUCUUUCGCGCGAGGUUACCAAGCAUGUCCUGAAGAUGAAGAUACUCUCAGCCUAACGUCUCCAAGCAAAUAUUGAUUCAGCAGUAUCCCCAGGCAAAGCCACACCAUAUAUCAGUGAACAGAGAAACAACUGCCCUUCUCCGGGCCCCUGUCUGAGAAGCUGGAGCAUCAGCCCUGGAGCUCUCUGGAGCAGUUUCCUUGCUCACUGCCCCCAGCUGAACACAGCCGCAUGCAGAGGUCCAAAGCACGUAAACAGGAUACCCACCCUGCAUUAUCUUAUAUUUUAAGUCAAUAUGAAGAUGGACAUUCUACCCGAGACCAAUUUCGAUCAAAUACUUUUGUCAAUAAAAAGAUACUAAUGUC
rnacentral:lncRNA from 1 species